rnacentral:rRNA from 1 species
AUUGAACGCUGGCGGCAGGCUUAACACAUGCAAGUCGAGCGGGGAAAKGUAGCUUGCUACMUWACCUAGCGGCGGACGGGUGAGUAAUGCUUAGGAAUCUGCCUAUUAGUGGGGGACAACAUCUCGAAAGGGAUGCUAAUACCGCAUACGUCCUACGGGAGAAAGCAGGGGACCUUCGGGCCUUGCGCUAAUAGAUGAGCCUAAGUCGGAUUAGCUAGUUGGUGGGGUAAAGGCCUACCAAGGCGACGAUCUGUAGCGGGUCUGAGAGGAUGAUCCGCCACACUGGGACUGAGACACGGCCCAGACUCCUACGGGAGGCAGCAGUGGGGAAUAUUGGACAAUGGGGGGAACCCUGAUCCAGCCAUGCCGCGUGUGUGAAGAAGGCCUUUUGGUUGUAAAGCACUUUAAGCGAGGAGGAGGCUACCGAGAUUAAUACUCUUGGAUAGUGGACGUUACUCGCAGAAUAAGCACCGGCUAACUCUGUGCCAGCAGCCGCGGUAAUACAGAGGGUGCAAGCGUUAAUCGGAUUUACUGGGCGUAAAGCGCGCGUAGGUGGCCAAUUAAGUCAAAUGUGAAAUCCCCGAGCUUAACUUGGGAAUUGCAUUCGAUACUGGUUGGCUAGAGUAUGGGAGAGGAUGGUAGAAUUCCAGGUGUAGCGGUGAAAUGCGUAGAGAUCUGGAGGAAUACCGAUGGCGAAGGCAGCCAUCUGGCCUAAUACUGACACUGAGGUGCGAAAGCAUGGGGAGCAAACAGGAUUAGAUACCCUGGUAGUCCAUGCCGUAAACGAUGUCUACUAGCCGUUGGGGCCUUUGAGGCUUUAGUGGCGCAGCUAACGCGAUAAGUAGACCGCCUGGGGAGUACGGUCGCAAGACUAAAACUCAAAUGAAUUGACGGGGGCCCGCACAAGCGGUGGAGCAUGUGGUUUAAUUCGAUGCAACGC